AUGGGGGGUGGCCAGGGCUGGAGGGGGUGUCGGCCGGGCACCUGGGGCUCGCUCCCUCCCCUGGCACCAGCUACACUCCAGCAACCCCCUACACACACUCGGCUGGAAAGUUCGCCCUGCCCGGGCUGGGCUCCCAGGCAGCCUGGCACAGUGCCAGGCUCGCCGCAGAGCGCGGGCAGCAGGGUGGGGCGAGCGGCAGAGGCGCGGAGGACGUGGCUGGGCGCCUUGGGCACGAGCAGGACCCGAGGCCGGGGGCCAGGGGCCCAGAAGGCUUGUACCUGUCAUGGUGGAGAUGUUAGCGGACAGUGGACAUGGAACAUUGAUGAACUCCUCCACAGCGGGCUAGGAGUGAAUGGGAACAGGAAGCAGAGGCCUACCCAACACCAGAAAGCUCAGUUAAUGGAGCAUGUCCUUGCCCAAUCAUUGCUUCCUUGCUGUACUUUGGAGCCUCAGAACAUUACCAAAGCACCUGGAGAGGCGGAGAAAUCAGAGAGAUUCAGCCAGCUGAGCGGUUAG
rnacentral:lncRNA from 1 species